UGCUGUGUAUCACUGGCUUGCUUUUUGCUGCCAUUUCUAGGUGGGGCAGUUGGCUGGCCCUUGUGGGAGGAAUAUAGGACAGCCAAAAGCAGGGAGUACAUGGCAGAGCGACAGGCUAUGCGAAAGCGAUCUUGUGCUAAGAAUAGGAGAGGCUAUUAAAGCUGGAUGGUAUGCGGGGGAUUUCUGUAGGCAUGUGCUGGGGCUGCUAGCUGGGAGGCAGAGUCUUCUGCAAUAGAAGUUGGUACCUCAAGACCCGGAGCUACAAGGUUACUGCAGGAGCUGCCAGCACAGCUCUCCAUCCUCCACACAAUUUUCUGGUCUUCAGUUGGAAAUAAAGCAAAACUCCUAAACCUCUGAUGCGAUUUAUCAUCCUGUCAGCAGUGAAAACCUGAACUUGUUGUGCUGCUAGCUCUGGUGGUCUUGUUUCUCAGUGAUGCAGGAGGGAUCUGGGUUUGGUUUUCUGUUGUUGCUUUUUUUUAUUAAAACAGCUUUGAGCUUGGCUGCGCACCCAAAACGGACAAAAAACAAAUCUCAGUCCUGGCUGUUGCUGGAGCAGGGAUCAGCCUGCUCUGAGCAGCUCUCAGCACUUGGCACUGCAUCCACACCAGGCCUGCUCUGUUGCAGUGGGGAUGGGACUUCGCAAGCUCUGCAAGGAACUGCAGCAAGAUUUAUGGGUUGUGCUGCUUGGUCUGUGGUGAAUUCUCUUUGGGCUUCAUGUGAGGGAAUGUGUAUCUUGGGGAGAGGCCUUCCCACCCUGCGUCUGAUGUGCCAACCCCAGCCCAUGUGUGGUGCAGCUGGAAAGCCUGGGGUCCCACUUGGGAUCAGAUACUCAGCAUGUUAAAAAGAGGUUUGGAGGUGGGAGCACCAGUUAUGACUGCAGAAGCCUGUUUGUAUGUUGAGUUUCAAAGGGUGGAAAUGCCCUAUUUAGCUCACCAGCUCAGCUGUAAUGCAGAGAUCCAAGCCAGGAAGGCCCUGGCAUGCUUUCUCUGCAGAACAGAGCAGGGAGCUUAUUAUGGGGCCUCUCAGUGACAAUAUUGCCCGCUCCUCCAGUUUGGAGAAACUGAUGGUUUUUUUGAAUCUGAGGCUGCUUUGGGCUGGGGAAUAGGAAACUGUGGUGUUGGGUGGUGUGUGGGCAUUGCUCUUAGCUAGUUGUGUGACAGUGUUCUGUAUCCUGCAGCUCCUCUGCUCUGGGGUGCUCACCCUCCUGCUCUGAGUUGAUGGAAUAUGCACUGCCCACAUCCCCAUCUGUGCAUCAGUGGGGGGCAGAGCUGUGGAAUGGGCUUGCUUGUUUCUGAAGCUGCCAAGUUAUGGGCUAGCUGUGGCCCGGGAGGGCUUGUGAGGAGCUCCACAAAACCCUGCCUUCCAACAGAGCUCUGGGGAGGGAUUUCCACUGCAGCAGUGGAAGUCUUUGCCCCACUUACUUGCAUUGCUGUGCUUGAAAUUCUCUGAAAUAUUAUCAUUAUGCUCAACUCAAGCUUGUAACUGCUCUGUUUUUCUGAGCACACAAAAGUAAAGAUGUUUUACAGCAGUUAUCUGCUUUAACUGUCCCUUUUUCCACUGCUGUAUCCAUCUGCCCUUUUUCCCUAUCCGCUGCCAUGAAGCCCUGCCUCCCCAUCAGAGCCCUGCACAGGGAGGUGCCCAUGACGUGGGAUUUGACAGAUGUUUGUGGUACAGCUUUGAAACAUCUUUCCUGAUGUGGGCAGUAGCUGCUUUCCGAGGCUGCAUUGGAAAUGGGUGUGCAGAAGCUGAAGCAGGGUAGAGCAGUUUGGCAGUGAGUCUGGAUGCUCACCUGGCUCCUUCUCCUGAGGUCUCAUGUAUAUGGGGGAGUUCCUGCUUGCCCUGCACUGCCCCUCAGAACGAUGAAGAUGUUUCUUCUCCCACGCUGAGAGCACUUCCAGUGCCCAGCAGUGGUUAUGCUGUGCUUGUCAGGAACGUGCUUCUUUCACCCUCCUGGCUCUGGAAAGCUUUGUUAAAAUGCACCACUGGGAUAAACAAGAGAGCUCAGCCCUCCCUAAGUUAAAGCCAUGCUCAGGUGGGCAGUGUUUUGCAAGGCUGUUCUAAUCCUGCCUGAUAGAGCACAUGCUGAGCACUCAGCAUGCCUCGUGCUGCAGCAGUGAAGCCAUGUCCCAGCUCCCUCCUGCUCCUGGGGCUGCUGCUGAGCCUGCCUCGGAGCUGCCCUGCGGAGGGAGUCAGCCUGGAGCCUGCCCUGAAAUAGCUUUGUUCUGGCAGCCUUGCGGACUGUUAUUCCUAACCUUUGGGUCAAGCAAGGUAGCAGUGACGCAAUGGAAAAACAUUGUCUGCAUGCGCUGUCACUGUGGUGGCUCAUCCAUCAGCUGCACCCUGACCCACGCUGGGCUGCCCACAGGGAAGGGCAAUGGCCCCAGUGCUGCUUUGCCACUGGGCUUCCCCUGAGCAGCAUCUCAUCAGCGGGGUAAAAUGCUCUUCUGCAUGCCAUGAUGAUCUGAUGGCUGUGCACAUCCUGCUGGUGCCCAGAUCAGGCCUCCUCACCUCUGGUGCUGCUGUAGGUGUAGGGUUCGUGCUCCUGCCACGCUCCUCCAUUCAAUUACAGCUUUCAAUUUUAACUCAAACCUGCUUCCUGCUUGCCUUUCCGUGUUACCGGGGUGAGCAAAACAAACACCUGUGAGCAGGCUCUGAGAGCUGUGUGGCGGCCUGCCUGUCCUUGCCGUGUGUGUUCAUGUGCACGUUAUCUCUGGCCUUGUUUGGGCUGGGCCAGGCUCUGCAGGUGUGUGGCUGAGCUGUUGGGGUGUAACCAUGCUGCUGAUAGCAAGGGGAAAGCACCCUGCUGUUCCUGGCCGCUGCAGGGCCCUGGCCUCACUUGAACUCAGCAUAGAGGAGUGCAAAAUGCCCUGACAUUUGUUUUGCUGCAGAGUAAUUCAGUAUCGAUGAUUAUCCGUCUUCCCAGUGAACUUCUGGAGGUGGAUGCUUGGGGUUGCUGUUCCCAGUGCUGCAGUACAGGACCACUUUGCAUAGCUGCAGUGUCUGGGCUGUUGGGAUUGCAGCAGCGCUAUCAGCGGAACCAAACCUCUGGGGCUGCAGGUGGCAAGGCCUCUGCUCCUGGACUUCUUGGGAUGGGAGAGCUUCUCACAUGGGUUUCCACAGCACUGAAUGCAAGGUGACCCCGCUGGAACUGCUUAUAAAGACAAAUGGGACCUACAAGCAGCAGCUGCAAUGCUGUGUGUUUGGAUUUGCAGAUGGAUGUAAAUGGGUGAAAUGGGUCACGUAGCUGGGGUCACUGAGCCCUCCAGUGCCGUGCUCUGAAAUAAGGGCAGGAAAAUGCCCUUGUUCUGAAGGUGCUACUGUUUGGCUGGUGCCUUGCUCUGUUGGAGCAGCUUUGAGAUAAGUCUGUGUCUGGACUGCCCAAAUGUGUACGUGUAGCUGGGGGCUCCUGGUAUCUGGUUCAGUUGUGCACACCCACAGGCAGAGGAUUUACUGCCAAAGCUGCGUGUCCUGAUAAACACCCAUCCUUGACCUGCAGCUCGAUAAGGCCCAGGAAGCAGCUCACCCUGGCUGAUAAAAGCAUCCAGGCUGGUGCUCCAGUCCAGUGCACGUGGGUAUAGCCAGGACAACAUCUGCCUCUGUCGUGUGCUGCAUUCAGCUCAUACCUGGGCUCUCUGCAUUGCUUCUCCCAUCCCAGCCAAAACAAAUGCAAUCUGCUCUUGUGUAUGCUGCAAGAGCCCUGCCAGCAACAAAGAGGAGCUCAAAUAUUUGCGCUAGGCUGUUGCUCUUUCCAUUCAGGCAAUAAGUGCCAACUGCUGCAGAGCCUGGUGGUGUGGGAUUUCCACUGGGCUGGCUCUGGCUUCACAGCCCCAUCGAGAUGAAACUCCUACAAUUAACAGCUGGGUUCUAAGCUGGGGAAAAUCACAGAGUGAUUAAAAUCUGGCCUUCAAAAAAUAAAAAGCCCUCAGACUUUCCGUGUCAAAUGGAGAAUGUGCACUCUUUGUGCACAGCUUCCUGCACCAUAGUGUUGUCACCACAAAUGCUGGAGCUCUGUUACUUAUUUCUGCCCUGCUGCUUGUGCUGCUAGCUGUCCGUCUGCAUGCAAAUAUCUCAGAACACCUGGAGACAGGGGGGGGGGGGAAAAAAAUACAAUUCAGUCUGCCUUUUGCUGGAAAGCCCCAAGCUCAAAGCCAUGUGGAGGGCUGAGUUUCUCUGGGAGUGGAGCUAUUAUAUGGAUGAGACGUUUGCAAAGUAAUUAUAUAAUGAACUUCAGAUCUCUGCUGCUUGGUCCCGGGGAAGCUGCUGUGUUUCAGCACUUGGUAGGGCCAGGAACAGGGCAGUGAAAGGACCAAGUGUGAGCUCAGCAACGAAGCUGCACUGCUGUCAUCAGUGGGCCCCUUCAAAGCUGAGAGGAUAAAGAAGGGACAGCCAUACCCAGCCCUGCAGAGUUCACAUGCCAUCUUGCCAGAUCUGGAGUUUGGAGAGUCCCAGGAAAGCCCACAUUGUUUCGCUGGGUUGGUUUGGGAUCAGGAUGCUGUAACAUGGAUGGUGGAUGCUUCAGCCCUGGUACCCAGCCUGGGUCCUUUCUGAGUGAUGUGCCGAUGAGAGAUGUUCUCAGUCUCUGUCCAGAACCGGUGUGAAGAAAAGCCCUGGAAAGCUAGAGAGAGCUGAGCAUUACACAUCCAGCUUGUCCAAUGCUGUGCUUUGACCUUGCCUGUGUCAUUCCUGCCAGAUGCUUGCCCAACCUGCUCCAAAAAUGCUCCUGCACUGCAGUGCUCUGCUGCCCAGGCAGCCUGCUUGCAUCCUGACCCAACCACACAAUGAGAUGUUGGGGAGAGGGCUCCUUCGUUGCUGCCUGACCUCAUUAUGUCUUGUCCUAUCCCUAUGCACAUUGCUCACCACUACAGUCUAAACAGCUGUAAUUUACGUCUGCAAAUUUCUCCACUGUCUCUACGCAGGAUGAGUAAGGAGUAUUGCCUACCCAAAACUGAAUAUUCUACUGUGCUUCUUAAGAACAGACACCUCUAAACUAAUUAGUCCUAAAAGGAGGAAAGUUUUACUAGCAUUCCCCUCCCAAGGCAAGCUGAAAGCUCGCUGGAAGCAGUUAUCCAUCCUGACUGAGUGAUGUCCUGCAGAACGAUGUUUGAAGCAGGAAAAACACCAAGGCCUCUGGUUCAUGCAGGACAGAUGCAGGCUGCUCUGGGAAGGCCCUGCUGGCUACUACGGGCCCAUGCUGGAAUGUGCUGAGAAUGAUGCUGAGCUGGGAGAGAUCUGGAAUGGUCCCAAGAGGAGCAGGCUGCAGGCUGAGUCAAGGUCUGUGUCUUCCCGACGAACCUCAACUUCUCCAGGAUGGACCUGGGGGGCUUUGUGCAUGGCACAUACCCAGGCUGAGGGUGCUGGCAAUGGACUUGUUCAUACCCUGUCUGGAUCCCACCUCGUGUAAGGAAUGGUGUGAUGGUAACCUGCUGACUUACAGACAAGCAGUGUGCUCUUUGGCAGGUGAUAGCUUCCAAUUAGCCUGAAAACAGACUCCUCUGAGUGGAAGAUUUGCAGACUCUCUCUUAUUCACUGGCAAACCUCAAUUUAAUACAAUCAGCUGUUCGACAGACAGGUUAGGUAAUGAUCCUUCAUGUGGGCACUAACAGGUUUGAGCACUAAGUACAGCCCCACUGCCCUCUGCCAGCAGAUGAAACACAUCUGAUACUAAAAUGCAGGGGAACCUAUGGAGCCCCUUGCCAGAGCACCUUGCUGAGUUCAUUAAAACAUCACCUUCAAUAAUUCAUGAAAUCUGUUCAGGGAGCUGGUGUGUCUGUGUGGGGAGGGGGUAAUAAAAUAUCGCAGACCUGGCCUGCCAGGAUAAUUGAAUGGCUGGUUAAAUCUCUCAACGGUAUUAAUCAAUAAAGGGGCCCCAGUGUAAAUAAAUCCAGAAUGAAUAUGACAGGGCUAGGGAAGUGCAUGGAAAGCAGUUCUUCCUCUCCUGCAUGUGACAGGAGGGGCCAUACUGCUAUGGCAGCUGCCAUUGGAGCGUGGUCCAUGCUCUGAGUUCAAACUUUCAGUUCUUCCAGCCAUGCUGUCCUGUGUUUAGGUGUCACAUAAAGGUCUGAUCCAGCUGUGUGCAAAACUGCAACACAGCUGGCUGUGAGCAGUAGGUAGUAGGUUCUGAACUCUAUUGCUUAUUUCAGAGCCUCCAACACCAAAAGCUGCUGCUGUGAGUGGGGCAUCACUCCCUUUCUCAGAUAAAAGCGCUUUCCUGGAGUUGGAAUGCUGUUUCCACAGAUCCUGCGUGAGGCAUGAACAAAUACUCUUAACAUAGCUUACAAAGCUGCUGUAAGCUUACAGAUGCUGUCAGGACUCCAAAUAAAUUUACUCACUCAGCCUCUCCAGGAAGGUGCUGUGACAUGGCUGCAUUCAGCAUGCACUUAGCCCAGCCUGACGCUGGUACCGUGCCAUUGAGCUCUGUGUUUUGCCCUUACCUACAGUUGGGCCGGAAUCUAACUUACGGACAGGUAUCUGCAAUGAGUAAGACUAAAAGUUGUAAUUUUAAUUUUCCGUUAAAUACAGCCUGCAGCUUGUCUUCUAUUCCGUUAAUGCUAAGCUAAUAUUUGCUUUUACCAUGUACAGAUAUUUGUGGACCUAUGUGUUUUCCUUCCACCAAGUGAUUCUCAGCCAAGCACUGCAUAUUCAGUUCCUUUGCUCCUUCCUGACGGAUCUGGCAAACAUGCCAGCAUUCAGGCUGGUUUUGGCUCUGCCCAGAUACUUCUGAUUAUGCUUGGCUAUUAGGAAGUUUGUGGAAAGCAUAUGUGUGUUACUGUUUAAAUAUGUCAAAAUUUUAAUUCAAUUUUUCAUCUUCACAAAUAGCAUCUGCUUUUCAUCCAGAUGUGCUCUGAAACUAAGCCAUAAUUUAUCAGUCUUCUCGUGCUAGGCUGUCCAUCUUUUUUGGCUAAGAAAUAGCCCAAAUAAUUUUCAAGUUGUGAUGCA